CUGAAAUUGCUUCAGAAAACACAAGCAAGAUGAUGUUAAGGGGGUUAUAGCAAUAUGCCCUAUUAGGAGGAUUACACACAUCCCAGGUACUUUAGAAGAUGAGGAUGAGAAUGAAGAUGAUAACGACAUCGCUGUUCUAGA